AAUAAGAUGGCUGAGGUUAUAGGCGUUAGAUUGUAAAUCUAAAAACAAGUUAAGACUUUCUUAUUA
rnacentral:tRNA from 1 species